rnacentral:rRNA from 2 species
UACAGAGGUCUCAAGCGUUGUUCGGAUUCAUUGGGCGUAAAGGGUGCGUAGGUGGCGAGGCAAGUCGGAUGUGAAAUCCCGGAGCUCAACUCCGGAACUGCAUUCGAUACUGCCCUGCUCGAGUACUGGAGAGGAGAUUGGAAUUUACGGUGUAGCAGUGAAAUGCGUAGAUAUCGUAAGGAAGACCAGUGGCGAAGGCGAAUCUCUGGACAGUUACUGACACUGAGGCACGAAGGCCAGGGGAGCAAACGGG